rnacentral:rRNA from 1 species
CGCGGCGAACGGGUGAGUAACACGUGGGCAACCUGCCCCUAGCACUGGGAUAACCCCGGGAAACCGGGGCUAAUACCGGAUACGACCUCGAGAGGCAUCUCUCGUGGUGGAAAGGUUUUUCUGGCUAGGGAUGGGCCCGCGGCCUAUCAGCUUGUUGGUGAGGUAACGGCUCACCAAGGCGACGACGGGUAGCUGGUCUGAGAGGACGACCAGCCACACUGGGACUGAGAUACGGCCCAG